rnacentral:lncRNA from 1 species
AUGUGGUUAUCAAGAAUAGAAAUCCAUGUUGUAAAUUCGUCUGUUAAAGAACAGAAUCAAGAUUCUUAUCUUCCAGAUGAAGAAUCUGGAAGGAUAAAGCCAUCUUUCUCAAAGAACAUAAAAUCACUGGAAGAAUUUUCUGUCGCUUCUUCUGAAGAAAGUUUUGAAAUCACAGGACUGGAUUUUCAGCUAAUACAAGCACCUAGGUCAUCCCCAUCCAGAUGCAUUUGGAGAGCUGAGCAGGGCAAUAUGCAGAAGGAUACCAUGGACCCACAGGGUGGUGCCAACGAGGUGAUUAUGGCCCUGCUCAUCACAGCACCUUCCCCCAGUGGUACCUGAAAGUUGUGAUGGACCACAGAACUCCUUAAAAUGCGAGACCUUUACAAACACCAGUAGGAAAUUUGAUGAGGAAGAUCAACAAAAUUAUUUAUUAAGUUAAUAAACAUGAAAAACAGCCUUCCUUCCUGGCUCUA